ensembl:lncRNA SOCS3-DT SOCS3 divergent transcript
AGUGUUACGUGGCUGCAUGACCAUACACUUCUGGGUAGAGCCCAGUGGAAGACAAAGAAGACUCAAGGAAUAGCCCUUGAGGGCUCAGGAGCUAUACAGAUGGGAUAGAGGGUGUGAGUGCUGGGAAGCCCCAUCCAUGGCUCGCUGGAGAUUAGAGGCCUGUUAAUCUGAAGACAAAGGAAUGAAGACGAAAACGUUUCUGAAAAUGUGGGUGGAGACACCUGGGCCUUUACAGGGUACGCUCCAGAGCUGCUUCCAGGCAGGGACCCCGGCUGAGAGAAGCCAGAGCCAGAGAGUCGCAGGCUUGCUUGCUCUUAUCUUCCCUCUGCUGGGGGGGUCGAGGGGAGAUCUGGCCCCUCUGCUCUGCCCUCCUGAUUUCCCGUCUAAGGGAUUUAGGAGACUUUUGCCUUUUCCUAAUCUCUCCCUUUGCAGAAUUUCUGCGAAGUCACAAUCCCAUUUCCAGGCAAAGGUGCUUGGUCAUAAAGAUAAU